rnacentral:lncRNA from 1 species
UUUGAUUUCAAUAAAUAAAAGUGUUUUAAUUUCUAUGGUAUUCCUCUAAUUCUUUAAGAAUGUGAAGUAUCUUGAUUUUGAAUUGAUUGAAGGGCCGGUAAAGCUUGAUCUUGAAUUUUCUCCCUGAACUUGAAUUUGGGCUUGAUCACGAACAAGUAAUUAGAUCUUGAACGCCAUGGUAUUUGAUUUGGCUCCAUUUUUUAUCGUGAACUUGAACUUGUAGCUUGAGGUGCUUGAACUUAUAGCUUGUAGAGAAAUCUGCAGGUCCUGAUCCACGAGCUCUCUGCUUGCUUCUUGU